AAUUGUGCUGGUGGUCCAGACGUGACUGUUACUGUUGAACCACCAAGUGUUUUUUAGUGGAGAGUAGCUUCACCCCCUAGAACACGUCAUCUUGCCCGUGUUACACAUGCCUUUACAUCGAUUUGAUGAUACGUAAACUGAUCAGAUGGGAAGUUGAAAGCAACACAAUGUCUUUGUUUUUUGUUGUUUUCAGAACAUACAACAGGAACAAGAAGGAAAGACGAGAGAACUGGACACUUUCUUCCUCGGGAUCGCUGGAGUCUCACAGCAACUCACGCUGACCCCCAAACGACCCCUGAUAUGGUGACUCAGCAGCUUUACAGCAGACUGAAGCCCGGGCCCUGAGAAGGAUUUCUGGACUGGCAGCGCUCACCACCGUUUGGGAAAGUGAGGUCAUCGACUCUGCCGUUUCCACCCCUCUCCAUCUGCAGUCUGACCUCUGCUAUUCUUCACGAUGAUUCCUGUGUGUUCAAAGGCGGCAGGAUGUCAGUAAUUGGAAGGGAUGUGAUGGA